rnacentral:rRNA from 1 species
CUACUGGGGUUUCUAAUCCUGUUUGCUCCCCACGCUUUCGCACCUCAGCGUCAAUACCUGUCCAGUUAGUCGCCUUCGCCACUGGUGUUCUUCCGAAUAUCUACGAAUUUCACCUCUACACUCGGAAUUCCACUAACCUCUCCAGGAUUCUAGCAAUCUAGUUUCAAAGGCAGUUCCGGGGUUGAGCCCCGGGCUUUCACCUCUGACUUGAAUCGCCGCCUACGUGCGCUUUACGCCCAGUAAUUCCGAACAACGCUAGCUCCCUCCGUAUUACCGCGGCUGCUGGCAC